rnacentral:tRNA from 2 species
GGGCGGUUAGCUCAGCUGGUUUAGAGCGUCUGCCUUACACGCAGAAGGUCACAGGUUCGAUCCCUGUACCGCCCA